AGUGAACGCUGGCGGUAGGCCUAACACAUGCAAGUCGAACGGCAGCACAGUAAGAGCUUGCUCUUACGGGUGGCGAGUGGCGGACGGGUGAGGAAUACAUCGGAAUCUACUUUUUCGUGGGGGAUAACGUAGGGAAACUUACGCUAAUACCGCAUACGACCUACGGGUGAAAGCAGGGGAUCUUCGGACCUUGCGCGAUUGAAUGAGCCGAUGUCGGAUUAGCUAGUUGGCGGGGUAAAGGGCCACCAAGGCGACGAUCCGUAGCUGGUCUGAGAGGAUGAUCACACACCUGGGAAGGGAGACAGGUCCCAGACGCUGACGCGAGGACGCAGUGGAGAAUAUUAGACAAGGGGGGCGAGCCUGAUACAGCCAUACCGCGUGGGUGAAGAAGGCGUUCGGGUUGUAAAGCCCUUUUGUGGGGAGAGAAAAGCAGCAGGUUGAUACCCCGCGGUACUGACGGUACCCAAAGAAUAAGCACCGGCUAACUUCGUG
rnacentral:rRNA from 1 species